UCCAGCUAUUUCGCCCAACCCAUAUUAGACUGUGUUAUAAAGACAUGGUAAAUUACAUCACGAAGGGAAGAGCAGAGGAAACAUAAUAUUCCUUCAAGACCCAUCAGCUCAGAUGUUAGCAGAACACUCCUAAGGAGGAAAACAAGAAAUUUUGGGUUUGAACUUGGUACUUCCCAGCAGCCCUGGGAGUGGGGUCAGAAGCCCUGCUGGUGGGGGCGAAGAACUCUGAGGAUCAAAGAUGUUGAUCAUCACCAGGAAGCUCACUGCAGCAAUAAUCAUGAUGCACUGAGCCUGACAAGCAAAAGAAAACUUCUUUAGGAGGAUAAAAGGGAGAUGAAGAAACAGAAAACACAUCAGCUCUCCAUCUAAAUUACAGAAAGCAGAAAAUAUCCUGAAUUGAAUAACACAGGAAUCACUCUUUUUCCCCCCUGAGAUAAGAGGUUACUUAUGAGAAACAAGCUUGAAAUCUCUGCACCUGAACCAGCUUCCAGAGGCUUUUGUCCUAACCAGAUAUUUACUGAAGAACUAGAAGAUGCUAGAUGUUAUUCUAUUCAUUUUAUACCACUCUUCAAAUUACCGAUGUUUCCCCACCGAAACCGACCCUCACAAAAGAAAAACUAUCUGGGGCCUUGGAUCCUC
rnacentral:lncRNA from 1 species